rnacentral:rRNA from 1 species
UACAGAGGUGGCAAGCGUUGUUCGGAAUUACUGGGCGUAAAGGCGCGUAGGCGGCCUUCUAAGUCAGACGUGAAAUCCCCCGGCUUAACCUGGGAACUGCGUCUGAUACUGGGAGGCUUGAGUAUGGGAGAGGGAUGUAGAAUUCCAGGUGUAGCGGUGAAAUGCGUAGAUAUCUGGAGGAAUACCGGUGGCGAAGGCGGCACUCUGGGCCAGUACUGACACUGAGGAGCGAAAGCGUGGGGAGCGAACAGG